GAUACCUGUUGCACUACUCGACAGUCACUAGAAAUAGCACUUAAUUAGAACCAAUAAUCGAACACAAGCUAGCCUAUUAGUAGUCAACUACUAAUAGUGAGUCGACCAAUCCAUAAGGAAGAACAAAUCAUAGGCUCAGCUCACUGAGAUACAACUCAAAGCACAUAAUGCGACAGACUACGCCCUCCUUUACGCCCUCCUCCUUGUUGGCGUUACAUGAGGAUCAUGAACACUUACGUCUCUUUCAGUCGAUAGGGGCUGACUCAAGUAGGACAUCACCAGGAGAUACUUCCACCAGUUGGUCGACUCAUUCGAGUACUCACACAGGCACGACGCCUACUACCAUAAGCUCAAGCCGCAAAACAUACUCGUCGAUGAGCUCGACAACCUCAUUGUGUCUGAUUUCAGACUCAUCAUCCUCUGAGAGUGCCAGAAACAGGAUAGAUGGUUGCACACCACCUGCCGAGAGUGCCAGACGGAGGAAUGACAAACAUUCGAAUAUCUCAUUUCCAGUUGCCUCUAAACUAUCAAAUCAUGCCAAUGACUUGAUUUUUUUCUAUGAGUAGGUGAAAUAGGAGCUAAGCAU